CCUACGGGGGGCAGCAGUCGAGAAUCAUUCACAAUGGGGGAAACCCUGAUGGUGCGACGCCGCGUGGGGGAAUGAAGGUCUUCGGAUUGUAAACCCCUGUCAUGUGGGAGCAAAUUAAAAAGAUAGUACCACAAGAGGAAGAGACGGCUAACUCUGUGCCAGCAGCCGCGGUAAUACAGAGGUCUCAAGCGUUGUUCGGAAUCACUGGGCGUAAAGCGUGCGGAGGCUGUUUCGUAAGUCGUGUGUGAAAGGCGCGGGCUCAACCCGCGGACGGCACAUGAUACUGCGAGACUAGAGUAAGGGAGGGGGAACCGGAAUUCUCGGUGUAGCAGUGAAAUGCGUAGAUAUCGAGAGGAACACUCGUGGCGAAGGCGGGUUCCUGGACAUUAACUGACGCUGAGGCACGAAGGCCAGGGGAGCGAAAGGGAUUAGAUACCCUAGUAGUC
rnacentral:rRNA from 1 species